AGCACGAUAGCUCAGCGGACAAGAGCGAUGGGUGCUUAAUCCCUAGGUCCCUGGUUCAAACCCAGGUCGUGCGU
rnacentral:tRNA from 1 species